GAUGAACGCUGGCGGCGUGCCUAAUACAUGCAAGUCGAGCGAACAGACGAGGAGCUUGCUCCUCUGACGUUAGCGGCGGACGGGUGAGUAACACGUGGAUAACCUACCUAUAAGACUGGGAUAACUUCGGGAAACCGGAGCUAAUACCGGAUAAUAUAUUGAACCGCAUGGUUCAAUAGUGAAAUACGGUUUUUCUGUCACUUAUAGAUGGAUCCGCGCCGCAUUAGCUAGUUGGUAAGGUAACGGCUUACCAAGGCAACGAUGCGUAGCCGACCUGAGAGGGUGAUCGGCCACACUGGAACUGAGACACGGUCCAGACUCCUACGGGAGGCAGCAGUAGGGAAUCUUACGCAAUGGGCGAAAGCCUGACGGAGCAACGCCGCGUGAGUGAUGAAGGUCUUCGGAUCGUAAAACUCUGUUAUUAGGGAAGAACAAAUGUGUAAGUAACUAUGCACGUAUUGACGGUACCUAAUCAGAAAGCCACGGCUAACUACGUG
rnacentral:rRNA from 1 species